GAUGAACGCUGGCGGCGUGCCUAAUACAUGCAAGUCGAGCGAACAGACGAGGAGCUUGCUCCUCUGACGUUAGCGGCGGACGGGUGAGUAACACGUGGAUAACCUACCUAUAAGACUGGGAUAACUUCGGGAAACCGGAGCUAAUACCGGAUAAUAUAUUGAACCGCAUGGUUCAAUAGUGAAAGACGGUUUUGCUGUCACUUAUAGAUGGAUCCGCGCCGCUUUAGCUAGUUGGUAAGGUAACGGCUUACCAAGGCAACGAUGCGUAGCCGACCUGAGAGGGUGAUCGGCCACACUGGAACUGAGACACGGUCCAGACUCCUACGGGAGGCAGCAGUAGGGAAUCUUCGGCAAUGGGCGAAAGCUUGACGGAGCAACGCCGCGUGAGUGAUGAAGGUCUUCGGAUCGUAAAACUCUGUUAUUGGGGAAGAACAAAUGUGUAAGUAACUAUGCACGUCGUGACGGUACCUAAUCAGAAAGCCACGGCUAACUACGUG
rnacentral:rRNA from 1 species